rnacentral:rRNA from 1 species
CGGGGUGAGUAACGCGUGAGAAUCUGCCUUCAGGUUGGGGACAACAGUUGGAAACGGCUGCUAAUACCCAAUGUGCCGAGAGGUGAAAGCUUUAGUGCCUGAAGAUGAGCUCGCGUCUGAUUAGCUAGUUGGUGGGGUAAAGGCCUACCAAGGCGACGAUCAGUAGCUGGUCUGAGAGGAUGAUCAGCCACACUGGGACUGAGACACGGCCCAG